UACGGAGGGUGCGAGCGUUGUUCGGAAUCACUGGGCGUAAAGCGCACGUAGGCGGCUUUUUAAGUCAGGGGUGAAAUCCUGGAGCUCAACUCCAGAACUGCCUUUGAUACUGAGAAGCUUGAGUCCGGGAGAGGUGAGUGGAACUGCGAGUGUAGAGGUGAAAUUCGUAGAUAUUCGCAAGAACACCAGUGGCGAAGGCGGCUCACUGGCCCGGUACUGACGCUGAGGUGCGAAAGCGUGGGGAGCAAACAGG
rnacentral:rRNA from 1 species